GAUCCUGGCUCAGGAUGAACGCUGGCGGCGUGCCUAAUACAUGCAAGUCGAGCGAACGGACGAGAAGCUUGCUUCUCUGAUGUUAGCGGCGGACGGGUGAGUAACACGUGGAUAACCUACCUAUAAGACUGGGAUAACUUCGGGAAACCGGAGCUAAUACCGGAUAAUAUUUUGAACCGCAUGGUUCAAAAGUGAAAGACGGUCUUGCUGUCACUUAUAGAUGGAUCCGCGCUGCAUUAGCUAGUUGGUAAGGUAACGGCUUACCAAGGCAACGAUGCAUAGCCGACCUGAGAGGGUGAUCGGCCACACUGGAACUGAGACACGGUCCAGACUCCUACGGGAGGCAGCAGUAGGGAAUCUUCCGCAAUGGGCGAAAGCCUGACGGAGCAACGCCGCGUGAGUGAUGAAGGUCUUCGGAUCGUAAAACUCUGUUAUUAGGGAAGAACAUAUGUGUAAGUAACUGUGCACAUCUUGACGGUACCUAAUCAGAAAGCCACGGCUAACUACGUGCCAGCAGCCGC
rnacentral:rRNA from 1 species